rnacentral:miRNA from 1 species
GGCUGUCAAUUCAUAGGUCAU